AGUGCUCACAAUCGUGUGAGGUAAAAGGGAAGCCAGUUAGAUUCUGGGACAGCCCCCGCUACUGUAAUUGCAGAUGAAAUCACAAAGCCACCUUUGUCGGGAAGGCGUGAGAGUAAAAGGAAGCAUAAGUCAGGAAACCUGCUUUGUAUGAAG
rnacentral:ncRNA from 1 species